rnacentral:sRNA from 1 species
ACACGCGAAAGGAGGUGGUCCUGGAAGUGAAGAUUCUUCGGACUCGUGAGGUGGUUGCGCGCUAGUCGUCGCGCAACCGAUCCAGCAACGGACCGGAUGCGGUGAGCCCGUGAACCGGGCGGGGUCUCCCGAGGGGAGGCGCCCGACGGCGAGCGAGUACCACGCAACCACCGGAGCCCGCGGGUGUCGUGCCCUCGUCCAGCACGACAGGAGGAACCCUCCAGCCCGCGGGCUUCUCGCU